GCCUGGGUGGCUCAAUCGGUUGAGCGUCUGACUUCAGCUCAGGUCACGAUCUCAUGGUUCGUGAGUUCAAGCCCCGUGUCAAGCC
rnacentral:tRNA from 1 species